rnacentral:rRNA from 1 species
AUGAAAUCAGCUUGACUCUUUGGUAAUCAGCCUGGGCUUUGGCCUGGGUGCACUUGCCAGUGAGUUAGCCUGCGACAAUUUGACUUGGGGGAAAAAAUUAGAGAGAAUGUGGCCUUGACUUCGGUGGAGGUGUUAUAGCUCUUUAAAAAAUACCCUGGGUUGGAUUGAGGACUGCAGCAAGCCUUUUGGGAUGAACUGUGGGCGCUUGGUUACUUAUCAAAGAAAAUCUCUGCUUCGGGUGGUGUUUUUUGAUGGGCGGCCAACUCGCUUGCUUUUUCUUUUUCUUGCUUAGGUCGCAGGCAUAAUGAUUUUAUAUGA